UUAGUGUUUUAGUUCGUUUCACUUCUCCAUUCUGAGUUUGAUUUAACAUUCUCACUAUAACAGACGAGAGACAGAGAUCUCUUUAAACGACAAUAAUAAGCUGUAUCAUUCUUUAUAUUUCAAGUUCCCGUUCUAAUUUUUGGUUGUCGCACGAAGGAAAAGAGUCACGAAGUGGAAAACAGCAGAAGCAGAAAAGAAAAGAUGAAAAGCCGCAAAUGUCAGUUCUUUAAACAGACAAUGAGAAACUGGUGAACAAUUUGUGUGGAUCGCAAGAAGAUGUGCAGAGUGAGGAGGACAUGUGUUUCGACUGGGAAACGCACAAGCAAUAAGUUACAAAUUAAAG
rnacentral:lncRNA from 1 species